rnacentral:rRNA from 1 species
UGGCUCAGAUUGAACGCUGGCGGCAUGCCUUACACAUGCAAGUCGAACGGCAGCGGACCUUCGGGUGCCGGCGAGUGGCGAACGGGUGAGUAAUGCAUCGGAACGUGCCAUUGAGUGGGGAUAACGUAGCGAAAGUUGCGCUAAUACCGCAUAUUCUGUGAGCAGGAAAGCAGGGGACCGCAAGGCCUUGCGCUCUUUGAGCGGCCGAUGUCAGAUUAGCUAGUUGGUGAGGUAACGGCUUACCAAGGCGACGAUCUGUAGCGGGUCUGAGAGGAUGAUCCGCCACACUGGAACUGAGACACGGUCCAGACUCCUACGGGAGGCAGCAGUGGGGAAUUUUGGACAAUGGGGGCAACCCUGAUCCAGCCAUGCCGCGUGAGUGAAGAAGGCCUUCGGGUUGUAAAGCUCUUUCGGCCGGGAAGAAAUCGCAUGGGUUAAUACCCUGUGUGGAUGACGGUACCGGCAUAAGAAGCACCGGCUAACUACGUG